AUGAUUCAACUAUGCCUUAUACCAAUGGAUUACGAAUCCAAAACAAUGCAUCAGUUAGAUAUGUCAAGAGUAACUGAGUUUCGGUGUUUUAUACGAGUGGUUGGCAGGAAUACUGUGUUUGGAGUCAACUUCAGUGCCUUUAUGGGGGUCUUGCUUCAAAAAUCCUGGUGUCAAUUGAUUUGUCCAUUGGAAAGAGUGGUUAUUUUAGUCUGGAUGUUUAGAUUGUUAUUUAGUUUUCAUUCUUGUGGGUUAUUAUAUUUUUCAGGAAGCUUUUCCAUGUCUUCAACGAAGUGA